AGCAGCGUGGCUCAGUGGAAAGAGCCCGGGCUUGGGCGUCAGAGGUCCUGAGUUCAAAUCCCAGCUCUGCCA
rfam:Ornithorhynchus anatinus chromosome X1, whole genome shotgun sequence.